AUUGUCACUACCUACGUUAUGCACAGAUCGUUCGAGUUCAUCGAAUGAGCCUGUCGAGAUAUAUAUUUAUUUAUUUUAUUAGCACUUGUUUUUACCGAGUUAGGUACACCACUCUGUGCCCAAAACGUAUGACUAUUGUACAAAGGUUCGUACGAGGCUCAAAAGUCUUAUAUAGACAAUAAAAAUCAUGUUAAACCAAGAUGACGCAAACAAUGUGUAGGACUUUAAUGACAACUUUUCCACAACGCAUUUGAGCUGAAAGGAAAACGUUUUACUGAUUGCCUAUAAUAAAUCUCACUUACCCCAGAGAAAAGACCUACAGUAGGGUGUUGAAUAAUGUGUAUAUAGUAUGUGUCUCAAAAGUCUGAUGACCACCACUACCCCUGAAUAUACAUUCUGUGUUGAACAUUUUACAAAUCAUGCAUUGGCAUGAAGUUACAACAGAUAGAGCUGUGUGCCAC